rnacentral:rRNA from 1 species
CCUACGGGAGACAGCAGUGGGGGAUAUUGCACAAUGGGGGGAACCCUGAUGCAGCGACGCCGCGUGGGUGAAGGAGUGUUUCGGCGCGUAAAGCCCUAUCGGCAGGGAAGAAGAUGACGGUACCUGACCAAGAAGCCCCGGCUAACUACGUGCCAGCAGCCGCGGUAAUACGUAGGGGGCAAGCGUUAUCCGGAUUUACUGGGUGUAAAGGGAGCGCAGACGGCUGUGCAAGUCUGGAGUGAAAGGCGGGGGCCCAACCCCCGGACUGCUCUGGAAACUGUAAAGCUGGAGUGCAGGAGAGGUAAGCGGAAUUCCUAGUGUAGCGGUGAAAUGCGUAGAUAUUAGGAGGAACACCAGUGGCGAAGGCGGCUUACUGGACUGCAACUGACGUUGAGGCUCGAAAGCGUGGGGAGCAAACAGGAUUAGAUACCCCUGUAGUC